AAAGUGACAAAUAACUGUUUGAAAAUGUUUAUAUAUUCUUGCCAUAUUUCAAAACUUUGAAGGUUUUUUAAAAGUGAAAACAACCUAAAUUAAGUAAAUGAAAAACUACAUGGAAAUCUCAAGCUUUCUAACACACAUGCCUAGCAGAAUUUCACUUUUCUAACAUAAAAAGAUUAAUACUACGGCAACUAUGCAUUACAGAGCAUUCAAAUGCUCUUUUGACUUUUAAAUCAAAUUAUUUCACUGUAGGGCAAUGUAGUCACACUGAUACCAGCUGUACUAAAUCUCAAUUUUCAGCCAGAUAAAACUGAGAUGGCAUGAUUUAGAACAAUUCAAUAACACCCAUAAAAUUUUUACUACAUUCCAAAGGUAAAAAAUGUUUAAGAGCAAGAAAAAUAAUUACAUGAGGCAUCUUAUUACAAAAUGUAGUGUAUGGUUUUGAUUUCCCAUUGAAAACUAAUUCAAAAAUCCCACUGCACUCAGCUAGUCACCCCAUAGAACUUUAAUAGAAUAAAGGUAGAAUAAAAACGAUUUGCAAAAAAUAACCUUAUACAGAAAAACAAGAAACAGCAGCUAUUUAUCAUGUGAUGGUGCUUGAAAAGAGCCAGCAAAAGCUUCUAAGCAACAAAGAGAGCGCUUUUUGGUCGUGCCUAUGUAGUGCAGGCACCUCCCAGCCUGCUUUCCACAGCUCUCUCCGUAUUUAAAGGCUGAUGUGGUGUUUAAAUGGAGAGGCGGUGACGUGGGGCUGGAAAGCACCUUCCCAUCCUGGCAGAGUCUAUAUUAGAGAGCGGCAAUGGCUCUAUAUAAACAGGGCAGCCACAGGGAGGAGGAACACAAGGAGCAGGGAGUGAGAAAAGCAAGGGGAAGCCAUGAUGGAUCUGAGAGCACAAAAUGAGAGCCUCCAAAUCAGCAUCAGGACUUCGGCUGAUAACACAGCUCAUGAUCUGUAGUUAAUGUAAUCCAAGUGAGUGUUUACCAUUUUCUGAACUGGUAAUAGACCAUGUGUGGGAAAGAUGUACCAUUGCAAAUAUUGUUGGAUAUCAUCUCCACCUGGUCCCAUCCGCAUGGGUAAUACUUGGCCAUGAAGAGAGACAGAGCUUGUUAGACUUGUUCCCCAUCUUAUCCCUGGUUAGGUUUUCCCUGAGGUUUUUUUUUUCUCAAUUGCUUUAAUAAAUGAUCAUUGUAAGUCAACCAAACCUUUUGUUGUCAUUAUUAUUAACUUUUUGGAAAAAGUAAGUGUCCAUAUUAGACAAUUAAAACCAGCUGUGUUAGGUUGCAUCCUAAAAGGAGAAAAAGAUCAUAAGGAGAAAAAGAAUAGAAACAGAUUUGAAAUUAUCUGUUUUUUAUGGUGUACAAGUAUGCUCUUCUAAUUUACAGCAAUAUGACAGAAAGGAUUAUUAAAUCUGAUCUUUAUUUGCAUAUUAUUGAUAAUGGAUAUUGGUCUCUUGAGAAAUUGAUGCCAGUAAUGGCAUGCUUAUUCUUUUAAUUUGCUUAAUGAUCAGUGUGGAAUAUAUUUAAAUAGCUGAAAUUCAUUUUGAUCCAUCUCUUGAUGAAAAUUUAUAACUAGCUAUGUUCUGCUUUUAUUGAUUUUAGUCUUUUUUUAAAUUUUCUGACUUUAGAUUGUUAUCUGGCAGUAUGAGAAAUUAAGUAUCAAUAUUUUUGUUUGUAUUGUAAUGUCUAUUUUUAAAACAAUCUAUGCAUCUUCUUAUAUUAUAAACACAUUCACAUUGUGUACUUUUUAUUGCAGUUUAACUCGUAUUGCUAGAUUUUUUUUUACCCAUUAUUAGAGUAACACUAGCAAUAUCAAACCACAAGAUGGCAAUAGUUCUCAAAAGGAAGAAAUUAAAUAAGAAGUGGUGAAGUUUCUUCAUUUUGGAAUUAAACCAAAACAAUUCACAAAAGUGUCAAACGUUGUAAAAUUCUGAUGUUGCUGGGCUAACAAUAAAAUCUACUUAAAAAGGAGAAAUGAUAUAUGUUUCCACUAAGAAUUUGUAUGUACAUAGGAGUUUCCUUUUCUUUUUUUGGCUCCACUCUUGUGCCAAAUUGUUAACCAAACUAUAAAGAAACUGGAUCUAAUAGAAAAUAAAAUCUAUAAUUGUG